AGAGUUUGAUCCUGGCUCAGGAUUAACGCUGGCGGCAUGCCUAAUACAUGCAAGUCGAACGAACCAAUUUAUUGGUUAGUGGCGAACGGGUGAGUAACGCGUAAGAAAUCUACCUACAAGACGAGGGUAACUGUUGGAAACGACAGCUAAUACUGGAUAGGAUAUUAGAACGCAUGUUUUAAUAUUUAAAGGUCGAGAACCACUUGUAGAGGAUCUUGCGUCGCAUUAGCUAGUUGGUAAGGUAACGGCUUACCAAGGUGACGAUGCGUAGCCGGGCUGAGAGGCUGAACGGCCACACUGGGACUGAGACACGGCCCAGACUCCUACGGGAGGCAGCAGUAGGGAAUUUUCGGCAAUGGGGGAAACCCUGACCGAGCAAUGCCGCGUGAAUGAUGACGACCUUCGGGUUGUAAAGUUCUGUUGUAUGGGAAGAAAACCUUGGAGAGAAUCCAAGACUGACGGUACCAUACCAGAAAGCUCCGGCUAACUACGUGCCAGCAGCCGCGGUAAUACGUAGGGAGCGAGCGUUAUCCGGAUUUAUUGGGCGUAAAGGGUUCGCAGGCGGUUUUAUAAGUCUGAGGUUAAAGUGCGGGACUCAAUCCCGUGAUGCCUUGGAAACUGUAAGGCUUGAAUACAGCAGAGGCAAGUGGAAUUCCAAGUGUAGCGGUGGAAUGCGUUGAUAUUUGGAGGAACACCAGUGGCGAAGGCGGCUUGCUGGGCUGUGAUUGACGCUGAGGAACGAGAGCGUGGGGAGCAAACAGGAUUAGAUACCCUGGUAGUCCACGCCGUAAACGAUGAGUGCUAAGUGUUGGCAAUAGUCAGUGCUGAAGUUAACGCAUUAAGCACUCCGCCUGGGGAGUACGGUCGCAAGACUGAAACUCAAAGGAAUUGACGGGACCCCGCACAAGCGGUGGAGCAUGUGGUUUAACUCGACAAUACGCGAAGAACCUUACCUGGUCUUGACAUCUUGCAGACCUCCAUAGAGAUAUGGAUUUCCUUCGGGACUGCAAUGACAGGUGGUGCAUGGUUGUCGUCAGCUCGUGUCGUGAGAUGUUGGGUUAAGUCCCGCAACGAGCGCAACCCCUAUUGUUAGUUACCAGCAUUAAGUUGGGGACUCUAGCAAGACUGCCGGUGAUAAACCGGAGGAAUGUGGGGACGACGUCAAAUCAUCAUGCCCCUUAUGACCAGGGCUACACACGUGCUACAAUGGCUGUUACAAAGGGAUGCGAAGUCGCAAGAUGGAGCUAAACUCAUAAAAACAGUCUCAGUUCGGAUUGAAGUCUGCAACUCGACUUCAUGAAGUUGGAAUCGCUAGUAAUCGCGAAUCAGAAUGUCGCGGUGAAUACGUUCUCGGGGUUUGUACACACCGCCCGUCACGCCACGAAAGUUUGUAACACCCGAAGCCGGUGGCUUAACUACGGAUGGAGCCGUCUAAGGUGGGACAAAUAAUUGGGGCGAAGUCGUAACAAGGUA
rnacentral:rRNA from 1 species